rnacentral:tRNA from 1 species
AUUUAAUUAGUUUAAUAAAAAUAUUGAUUUGUGGAGUCAGGGAUAUAUGUUUUGUAUAUUAAAUA